GAUGAACGCUAGCGGCAGGCUUAAUACAUGCAAGUCGAGGGGCAGCAUGGUUGUAGCAAUACAACUGAUGGCGACCGGCAAACGGGUGCGGAACACGUACGCAAUCUACCCAAAACUGAUGAAUAGCCCUCCGAAAGGAGGAUUAAUACAUCGUAACUUAAUGAAGUGGCAUCACUUUAUUAAUAUAGCUCCGGCGGUUU
rnacentral:rRNA from 1 species